GACCUUGAUGCCUGUAAGUUUCUUUAGCAGGAUUUAAUUUGGAUAUGGGGAUAAGAUCCUGGCCUUCCACCUUAUGGUGGAGGGGCCCCGACCCCCUCCUUUUUAUGCCUGUAAGUCCUGAAUGUAAAAAUUAUAUUCCCCUGAUAGACAAAUAUUAAAGUCAAUUCAAAUUUCAGACAUUUAGAGAAAUAAUUCAUAAGGUAAACAGACACAGCCACAAGGGCUCUUAGACAUUUGGAUGAACCCAGUGUGAUUUUAUUUUGGUUGUCAACAUUGCUAAUUCAUGUCAACUUGUUUACAGCAAAACCCAGGACAUUUGUCAAAUCAAUUUUCUUGCAGAUGUUGUCAGGUAAGAACUAAGAGCCAGAAACUGCAUUUGAGUAAAUUAUUUUACAUCAUAAUGUUAUAUAUAGGAAACUUGUGGUCUCCUGGAAAUCGUUCUGCCAUGAUGUUCCAUUAACAACUUUGUGUCAACUUGACAUGGUUUUUGAUGGCUAUGUUUGCAGAAAAUGAAUGGGCAUUUGACUUACUUUAUUGUAUGGCUUUUAUGGUCAUGGACAAAAAGUGGCUAGAGAGAAAUGCCACGUAUAUGGAGUUCAAUGUAAGGAACAAAUUUAUCAAUUCCACGAAACUUGAUCUCAACAUAGCUCUUGAUUUUUUGAAUGUGAAAUUUCAAACCUGAUCAGGAGUCAAAAAUAGGGUAUUGACUAAGUAAAGUAUUUUUCUGUAGGAUGUCCUGAAAUCCACCCGGACUCAGCUGGAGAGAGAACUUCUUAUGGAUGAUGUCCUAAGAAUUGAAGAUAUGCCUUCUUAUAGUCUUCUAUGUUAGCAAAAGCCAGGUAGAAGUUCAGCAGGAGCCAUGAUUUGUUCAAUCCGUUGAUAUAUUUAUCAAAAUCAUGAUUGGACAUUUUCUCUUAUGCUUUCCCACUUGCUGGAUUCUAUCGUUGCAAGUUUGCAACUCUAUUGUUCUCAAGCUAUUACUGGGGAUUGGCGGAACUCAAAGAGAAGUAUGAAAAGAGUUUGUGAGAUUCCAUUUUUAGAAUUUUUAUCUGCUUCUGAAUAACUGGUUCAAUUUUCUAGAAACUGAAGGCAUCUUUGGAACAAAUCUAGAAUCUAUCAAUAGAAUUGUUUACAAAUCCCAUAAAUAGUUGAACCAGAAGAUGUGAAAUUUAGAACACAUUGUUCCAAUUCAUGUGAGAUUCUAUAUGAAGUCAAUUUUUAUAAUUUUCUAAUAGAAUUUUCAUCAUAUCCUAGUUAAACAUACACAGAAUGUAAUUUAGAACAAAAUUGAAUCAUUUAAAAUUUCACUCGAGGGUUAGAGUUGUCUGGUACAAUCUGUUGUGCAACAAAUAAGAAAAUUUAUUAAUUUGUACAGGAGAUUAAUUGAUCUUUGACAGAGACUUCCGGUGCAAAGCAUGACAAUUGACAAAAGCCUGAAUUUUGUAGGGCAUAGCAGAGAGAUGUCUUUUUGUUCCAGGUUCAUUGUUCAUUUGGUCAUAGGACAGACAAGUUUGGCUUCUCUCUCUUUAUUACUCUUACAUGCUUAUAUUGAUGGAUUCUAUCAGUAUCAUAAUUUCCUUUCAGUUUGCUUCUUUUUCUAAGCAACCAAACAGAGCAUAACACAAUAUUAUAAGAAAAUAUUCUAGAUCAUGGGAUCAUCAACCAAUGCUCUAACAAAGAAGUGGUCCCAAUCUACAGCAUCAACCAAUCUCCUAACAAAGAAAUUACAAUACUAUUUUAUGUUUUCCUUCUUCCCUUUGUUUGUCCUCUACUUUUUUUUUUUCUUGCUUUCUAUAUAAAUUAUAAAGUAGAACAGCCAGUUUCUGUUGCUUCUUUAUCAGUAUUAAGUUGCGCAGAAACUAAAGAUAAUAAUAAUAAUAAUAAAUAGAGCAUCUCUUCUAUCAAUAUGCUAUGAGUUAGUUCUGGACGCUCUUGGUAUCUAACUUUUGAUCUCCCAACUAAUUUAGACACAUUGAAAAGUAAACAAGUUGGGAGUGUUUAGUUGAAAGUGAUACAGUAACUGCUGUCUAAUCAUAUUUACAACUUCUGGAGGCUGAUCUUUUUUGGACCAUGGCAGAGUUAUAUAUAUAGAAGAGGUUUGUAAGGAUAUUGGGGCUAUGUUUUGGAUGAAGGAGAGGGAAAUGGAACUGGAAGAGUAGAAAAGAAAAUUGACUCCAUCGUUUCAUUUACAUUUAGAGAUCGAGUGAAGGCUUAGAGUGGCAUGCGGCGUAUUUCAUUUUUGUUUUAGCUCUCCUCACUAAAAACCCAAAAAAGAAAAAACAAACAAACACCAUUUCGUGAAUUUUCAAUAGUAGUUUGCAAUUAUGUCUUUUUAUUAGAUAAAAAAAAAUGUAAUAAUCAAUUUACCUUUAAUUUUUAAUUAACUAUAAAUCAUACUCUGUAUAAUUUUUAACUAUAAAAACAAUUUUAAUAUUAUAUAUAAUAUUAUUUUCUAGAAUUUCUAAACUAUAAAACUAAUAUGUUAAUAUUAGUUAUAAAAAUAUAUUGUAUAAAGGAUAAAAAAAAUUUAUAUUAUCUACUCAAAUUUUAAAAUGUAAAGUAAAACUAAUAUAAUAAUUAUAGUUAUGUAACUCGCGAAUGUAAAAAUUUGGUCUGAGAUAAUUUAAUAUAUGUGGAAUAAUAAAUUAAAAUAAUUUAAAUUUUAUUUUUUUAAAAAUUGAAUUUUAAUAUAUAUUUAAAAAUAUUUUUAAAAAUUAAAGUUAAAAUAAAAAUAUUGGAGGAUCUAUUUAAAAAAAAAUAUGAAAAACUCGAGUAAAAACGAAAUUAAUAAAAUUUUGGCCACAUGGACCACCACGUCAGCAACGCGGCCGGUCUCCGUGCGCCAUGUGCCAGACAUGUGGACACGCGUCCCCGCGGGCGAUCUGUGUGCCAGCAGAUCCAACAGCCCAUAUCGCAUUCCGUGCGUACGAACGAUCCAGAUCAAUUUCCUUUUCAGACGCGAUCAAAUGUCUGAAUUUGAUCAAAUCGUGCGAUUCAGAUUAAUUCUCCAAAUAAGAGCAAUCCAACGCCUGAAAAUGGAUCACAUCUUCUCCUACGGACGACCCAAAUUUAAUGAAGAGGAUUAUUGAAACUCUUCUUCACAGGGAACCAUAACCCUAGCCGCUAGAGAGAAGAUUAAAGAAGAAGAAAAUGGGCGCCAGAAAUCCAACCAGUCGCCAGAUAAGAAGACCGGUCACCAUCGCCGCCGUACUAAAGCCAUCACCGACGCCGAAAAGGUAAAUUUUUUUUUCUUUCGUUCGAAAUUGAGUUUCGAACCUCUCCACACCCAUAUCGGAGCCAAAACGCCAAAGGGUGAACCAAAAAAUGCGAGUAGAACUCAACCGAGCCGCUGCUGCCACGAACUAAAAACUCCUCCGAUAAGUCCCUUCUCAUUUUUCGUUUCUUUCACUUUUUUGGCCUUCGUGAUCCUUUCUUGCGAUUCAAAUUACUGUUUCGUUCAUUAAUUGUUUGACUGAUUAUUCUCACUUACUGACUGAUUCGAAACAAAUGUCAUAAUCAUAUUUUUCUUGAGUUGCGUAUUAUCUUUUUGUAUAAUUUACUAUUAAUAUGUAAAUAUGAAAUGUUGGUAUGUAAUUGGUGAUUGGUUGAUGAUGUAGAUAUAUGUAUGAAAUGCUCAUCGGGUAUAUUAGAGAAGGGUGUAUGGACCCGGUGCAUAGGAAAAAUUCUACAGUGGAUAUUAUCUCAGUCGAACGGAAUUGAGAAGUUCCAUACUGAAAUGAAUUGAGAGGUAUAGAUCACCCUCAUAUCGGAUAAUGUAUUGAAUCGGUGGUAUAUUUGGUAUCUAUUACCAAAUGGAAUGUAAGAACGGUCGAUUAAUUGAUAAGUUAGAUAUUGGAUCCAUGUGUAUGGAGGAUCCCUAUGAAUCCUCAGAGGUACUAGUAAGCAGGUAAGAAGGCAAAUUUUACUAUUAUCGCUCAUUUAAACAUGUAAUAAAAUACUAUUUUGGUUAUUGUUUUUAUUAGGUCGAUUUUGGAAACUCAUAAGGAUAAAUAUGAAAAUAACAGUUUUUAUGUUAAAUGAAUUUAUUUAAAAAAUGAUAAUGACUUCAUUGGUUGUUUUUUAAUUUUUACCAACUUUUGAUUUUUCGUAUCGGUGUUAAGUGUAAUAUUCUUACUGCCUAGUGUACCUCAUUCCUUUUAUUUAAUUAUUUCAAAUCAGGAAAACCAAAACGCAAAUCUUGAACAGUAAAAAUUUAUAAAUAAAAGAUGUCUCCUACAUUCCAUCAAAGUUGUCCAGCGGAGGUUAACUCUAUAAGAUUUUAGUAUAUUUUUUUAUUUAUUCCAUUAUUAAAACUUAUUUAAAGGGACAGUUCCGUAAUCCUAUUAAGUAUCUAAAUUUAUUAUGUAGGAAAUAUAAACUCUAAACCUUUAAUCAUUUCUGUCAUUACAAUAUAUAUUUAUUUUUUUAAGAUUUUGAAUUUUUACAAUAAAUAUAUAUGUAUAUAUGAUAUAGAGAUAAAAUUUUAAAGAUUAUCUAUUCAAAUUUUAAAAUGUAGAAGAAUUAAUAUGAUAGUAUACCUAAUAUUUAUUCUAAAAUAUAAAAUAAAAUUUAAUUUUUAAUUGACUAUAAAUUAUACUCUCUAUAACGUUUAGAUAUAAAAAUAAUUUUGAUAGUAUAUAUAAUAGUUAAUAAUUUUAAAAUUUUCAAUUAUAAAAAUAGAAUUUAAUUCUUAUUUAACUACAAUUUAUUUACAUAAUUAAUUUUUAAAAUUAUAACUCAUGCAUAACGUAAGAUAUAUACCUAAUAAAUAUAUAUAUAACAGUAUCCUACUGUAAAUAUAAUAAAAAUUAAAAAUAUAUAUUUAAUAUUUUUUAACAAAAAUAUAUUAUUUGUCUUAAAAUUUUCUUUUGUUACAAUUUAAUUCACAAACUUAUAAAUUAUUAGAGAUGUAAUUCUUUUUGUAAAAUUAUAAAGUUUUUCAUUUAAAUGUCAAAAUGUUCUUACCAAUGUUCGUUUCUUAUAAUUUACAAGUUAAAAGUAAAUGAGUUACCUACACAAGAAUUUUUUUGUUUUCUUUUCAAAUUUCAAAUCUUAAUUUACAUUUCAUAAAAAUUUUAUGUUUCUAAGAUAUUCUCUGUCUUACCGGGUAAACAAAAAAAUAAAAAUAAAAUUUAUAUUGUCACUGCCAUUUAUGAAUUUUAACUCGUAUAAAUAAAAGGUUUAAAAAUUCAACAGUUGCAGUCUAUAUUUCAGACUACUAAAAUAAUAAAGUCAUGAAAAAAGCAGCCUAACCCAAGUAGUAGAAGUGAAGAAAUGAUAAAAAGAGAGGUAUCUUCUUUUGUACUUCAUAGAGUUCAAAUACGAGAAGAGGCAGUUGGUGUAUCCAUCUAUACGAGUUAGGACCAUUAGCCAUACAAGUAGAUGAGCCUUGAACCCAAAGUUUCAAUAUACCUAACCUCUCUCUCUCUCUCUCUCUCUCUCUCUCUCUCUCUCUCUCUCUCUCUCUCUCUAACAGUAGCUGAGAUACUCGUUUCAAUGACUAUUAUCCAUCUGUAGGAGUUUAGUAGAUGACCUCUUAUCAGCCUUUCUUGUCUUUGAAGCAAAAACUGAUACCCAAUGCUGACAACUUCUCAUUCUCUAUCUCUCUCUCUCUCUCUCUAACAAUUGUCUUCUAAUAUCCAAACGCACACAAAGAGACACUAAGUUGGAAGAUCUAGAUGGGUUCAUUUCAGACAUCAAAUGGUUUAGACACUUCAUGUGGAUAUUUACUUCAAGAACUGCAGGCAAUGCAUAUUAGCAAAUUUCUUUCACUUCAGAAGUUUAACAUGUCUGCGUGUAUUGUUUUUCUAAUGUAAUGUUAAUGAGACAGAUGAUAUGGGAUGAAGUCGGAGAAGAUGAGUUUGAAAGAGAGAAGGCUUUGCUGGAUUUGGAGGAGGAGUGUUUAGAAGUUUACCGGAGAAAAGUUGAUCGAGCAAACAUGUCAAGAGCUCGCCUGCAUCAGGAGUUGGCAGAAUCUGAAGCUGAAUUCACCCAUCUUCUUUUAUCCCUUGGUGAACCAUCACUUCCUGCCCGGGUACAUGAUCUAUCAAACUCUACAUCUAGCAGCCUCUUACAGCCUGCACUUCAAAUACAACACAUAUACACGUGUAAAACCCAAAUAAUAAUUUUACAAUGUUCUCUCUGAUGAACCUAAUAUUAUAAAAGCUCAAAAUCAAUUUCUAUCAUCAUUGAAUUCUGUGCUAAAGGUCUAUUGUAAGCUACCCCUUACGUUCUAGAAAGUUAAAUGAAAGGAUCUGUUAGAAUCUUUGCAGCAUAUGCAACAAUAAAGAUUGUGAGUCAUGCUGUGGUGAGAGUUUAGUCUGUCUAAAACAGAAUAUGCGUAAAUGACACGAUACUUUAUACUUGCCUGAGUCAUAUAAACUACUGUUUGUACAGCCAGAAAAGACGGGAAGGACGCUCAAGGAACAGCUAGAUUCAAUGUCACCUGCUUUGCAAGAAAUGCGGUUGAGAAAAGAGGAGAGAGUGAACGAGUUUCGAGCUGUGCAAGGGCAAAUUCAGAAAAUUUCUGCACAAGUAGCAGGUCAAUCAGAAUAUGACGAUUCAUCAACAAAGAUCAUAGUGAAUGAGAAUGAUCUCUCUCUCAAGAAAUUAGAGGAAUAUAAAACUGAACUUCAAAGACUCCACAAUGAGAAGGUAUUUCACUGCUCUUUGUGUUAGUAGCAAGCACAUUUUCAUUAUAUUCAUCAAAACUGAGAAAUUAAGGAACUCCUACUUCCAUUUUCUUUCCAUGGAUGGAAAGAAUGACAGGCUUCAGAGAGUGGAAAAGUACAUAAGUACAAUCCAUGAUUUAUCUGCAAUCCUGGGGAUUGAAUCCUCUAUGAUCAUAACUAAGGUUCAUCCAAGCUUGAAUGAACUGUACGGAAUAUCCAAAAACAUAAGUGACAGUAUAUUGGCCAAGCUAAACAGCACGGUGGAAUCUCUUGAAGACGAAAAACAACAGCGGCUUGAGAAGGUGAACUCUAAAUACCAUUCCUUCCCAUAUGUUCCUGAUCUUAGCCUUCUUUUGACCGCAUCUUAUUUAAAUCCAGUUGCAAUAAAACAUACAAGUUUGUCGACUGUGCUCAUGGCAUGUAUUCAUGGAAGUAAAAACAAAGAUCAACGUGAAAAAUCGGUUGUUGAGCUUUUAUUCCAUUUAUUCAAGGUGCCACUAACAUGUUAGGUAGAAGAUCAUCAUGACAAACUCUAAUUUACAUUUUGCAAGUUUGGCAGCUUCACCAUCUUGGUAAAUCCUUAAAGAACUUGUGGAAUCUUAUGAACACACCCUUCGAAGAUCGUCAACCGUUUUCCCAUGUAACUAAUUUACUAUCCAUCUCAUCAACAGAAGUUUCUUAUCCUGGAAGCCUUACUAUAAAUAAAAUCCAGCAGGUAAGAUACAUAGUAUCUAAUCUAACUUCAGUAUAUCAGAAAACAUCUAGACUAAACAGUAAUUAAAUUGUUGCAAGGCUGAUGCUGAAUUCAAGAGACUAGAUCAAUUGAAAGCAAGCAAGAUGAAGGAACUUUUCCUAAAGAAGCAGAAUGAACUAGAAGAGAUAUGCAAUAAAUCACACAUGUAUAUACCUUCAAGAUCGGAGAUGGAAAACAUCAUAAACCUCAUAAAAUCUGGUGUGACUUAGUGAAUACUGAGCUUUUUUUAUAGAAAGACUUGUGUUGUUUAAAUCUGAAGUGUCGUAAUCUGAUCAAAACCGACAAAAGGGGGGAUUGACCAUGCCAAUCUCCUCAUGACCAUGGAUGGACAGAUAUCAAGAGCAAAGGAAGAAGCCUCUAGUCGGCAAACAAUAAUGGAGAAAGUAGAAAGAUUGAUGUUAGCACGUGACGAGGAGCGGUGGCUUGAAGAAUAUAGCAUGGUUAAUACUCUCAACAUUGGUCCAAACAUUACUAGCUUUCACUUUAGACCACUCAUGCCUGUUUGACGGAUUUUUUUUUCAGGAUGAGAAUCGAUAUUCAGUCAGCAGAGGUGCUCAUAAGAAUCUGAGACGUGCAGAACGGGCCAGGGUAACAGUCAACAAAAUCCCAGGUAAAAUAGGAAAUUUCUUGUGUUAGAUAUUUGCUCGAUUCAGUAGAAGAAACCCAAAUCACUAAUACAACUGAUAAAUCCUAUAAAAUGAUUAUAUAUAAAAAUAAAUAAAUAAAACCACUGAUGCUUUCUGUUAAAGCAGUUAGUUUAUCCAUCCAAUGAUGUUUCUAUUUUCAUACAAUGAUCCAUUGCAGCAGUGGUUGAAACACUUAUAGCAAAAACAAAGAGCUGGGAAGAAGAGAGAAAGAAAGUUUUCCUAUAUGAUGAGGUGAGAAUCUUUUACCUGAAGGAUGUAGAUAGAACUAUGUUUAUUUUAUUGGGCACAAGUAGCUGAAUAGUUUUUUGCAAAUACGGGAGCAUUAUCUACAGUUACCAUAAACUAAUAAUAAGAAAAAUAACAUUUUGCUUUUCUAGGUACCUCUCCUUGCAAUGUUGGAGGAGUACAACAUGCUGCGCCAGGAAAAAGAGGACGAGAAGCUAAGACAACGGGUUAGUAUUGUUUGAAACUGCUAUCGAAAUAGAAUGCCAUUCAUCAGUCUCUAUUUUAGUCCACGUAUAUAGCUUUCUCAUCAGAAUGUUAACAGAGAAGAAAAUUUCACAUUCAAUAGCAUCUUUUAUGUAAUCUGAUACCUGAUCAGAUGGCGUUUCCUCAGCAGAAGAAAAAGGUUCAAAGCCAAGUAAUUACAGAGCAGGAUAGUUUCUCUAUUUCAAGGCCAACCACCAGUAGUCGGCAUAUUUCAAGUAGGAGCUUGAACGGAGGUUUCAGCAAUGCAAC
rnacentral:lncRNA from 1 species